rnacentral:rRNA from 1 species
CCCAGUCAGGCGGGACAACCCGCUGAGUGUAAGCAUGUUAAUAACUGUAAGAAACAAAACUAUUUCUAUUUCUCACAUCUUGUUAUAUCUUUAUAAUAUCUCUUAGACUCUACUAUAUUUUAUU